rnacentral:rRNA from 1 species
AUGCGAAAGCGUGGGGAGCAAACAGGAUUAGAUACCCUGGUAGUCCACGCUGUAAACGAUGUCGAUUUGGAGUUUGUUGCCUAGAGUGAUGGGCUCCGAAGCUAACGCGAUAAAUCGACCGCCUGGGGAGUACGGCCGCAAGGUUAAAACUCAAAUGAAUUGACGGGGGCCCGCACAAGCGGUGGAGCAUGUGGUUUAAUUCGAUGCAACGCGAAGAACCUUACCUGGUCUUGACAUCCAUAGAAUUCUGCAGAGAUGUGGGAGUGCCUUCGGGAACUAUGAGACAGGUGCUGCAUGGCUGUCGUCAGCUCGUGUUGUGAAAUGUUGGGUUAAGUCCCGCAACGAGCGCAACCCUUAUUCUUUGUUGCCAGCGAUUUGGUCGGGAACUCAAAGGAGACUGCCGUUGAUAAAGCGGAGGAAGGUGAGGACGACGUCAAGUCAUCAUGGCCCUUACGACCAGGGCUAUACACGUGCUACAAUGGCGUAUACAAAGGGAAGCGAAGGUGCGAGCUGGAGCGGAUCUCAUAAAGUACGUCUAAGUUCGGAUUGGAGUCUGCAACUCGACUCCAUGAAGUCGGAAUCGCUAGUAAUCGUAGAUCAGAAUGCUACGGUGAAUACGUUCCCGGGCCUUGUACACACCGCCCGUCACACCAUGGGAGUGGGUUGCACCAGAAGUAGAUAGCUUAACCGCGAGGGGGGCGUUUACCACGGUGUGAUUCAUGACUGGGGUGAAGUCGUAACAAGGUAACCA